UGACAAGAGCCUGUUUAACACAAAUGGUACCCAUCUAAAGGGGAAGAGAGUCAAGAUUUCCUUUUUUUAUGAAGAAUUUGGUUUUUCACCCCUCUUUUCUCAUUCACCACAGGUGAAAUCCUUCCUAGCAGCUGGCUUAUGAAAUAUUGUGAUGGGAGGCCUUAUUAAGUUGAAAGCAACCUCAGCUGGAGAUUAAUGUAUGCAAAUGAGAUGCACAAACAAAGGAUCCUGGACAGAGAAAUAUCUGCAAAUCCAGCAAAAUGCUGCCCGCAGCUAGAAGAAGAACAACAGCUUUGAUAAAAUGGUAACAAAAAAGCACCUUUUUUAUCCUGCAGCAUGUUUUACAUUGCAAUAGACCAUUGUCAUUGUAACCCAUCAGGGCAUGCCGAGUUUCUCUCCACUAAUUCAGUAACCUGGUUAAACAUUUGUUUUAG